UACGUAGGGUGCAGGCGUUAAUCGGAAUUACUGGGCGUAAAGCGUGCGCAGGCGGUCUUUUAAGUCAGAUGUGAAAUCCCCGGGCUUAACCUGGGAACUGCGUUUGAAACUGAAAGGCUAGAGUGUGGCAGAGGGGGGUGGAAUUCCACGUGUAGCAGUGAAAUGCGUAGGGAUGUGGAGGAACACCGAUGGCGAAGGCAGCCCCCUGGGCUAACACUGACGCUCAUGCACGAAAGCGUGGGGAGCAAACAGG
rnacentral:rRNA from 1 species